GUGCCUUAAACUAAUGAGUAAGGAAAAUAACGAGCUGGAGUGACGCCCAGCUCCACCAUACAAAUUUAUGGUAUGAAUUUUUGAAAGGGUACAGGUCGUCCCAGGGGUGACUGGCCUACUUUCGCUGGUCGCCCAGGUUGCUGUGAUCUGCCCG